rnacentral:snRNA from 1 species
GUGCUUGCUUCGGCAGCACAUAUACUAAAAUUGGAACAGUACAGAGAAGAUUAGCAUGGCCCCAGCAAGGAUGAUGCACAAAUUCAUGAAGCGUUCCAUAUUUAA